rnacentral:lncRNA from 1 species
CAACUUUGUUCUGAAGUCGCUAAACCUGAGGAUCUGUUGGAGAUAAGGAGGCAAGUAGAGGUUAAAAACUUCUCAAGGUCACACAGCUUGCACCCAGCAGACCCAGGAUCUAACCCCAGUUCAUCUGAUUGCAGAGUUUGUGCCCGGAACUUGGCACUGGACGUUUUCCUGACCAUGGCUCUUUUAUCAUGUUUAUUUUUCUUUGUUGGGUUUGACCUAUUUAUCGUGUGCCUCUCCUUCAAGACUUGGAACUUCUUAAAGACAAGGGAUGUCAUACUUCAACAAAAAGCUUACUUUAAAAAGAAGCCAUGGGGUGGCUGGCCCCGUGGCCGAGUGGUUGGGUUUGCACGCUCUGCUGCAGGCAGCCCAGUAUUUCAUUGGUUUGAAUCCUGGGCACAGACAUGGCACUGCUCAUCAAGCCACACUGAGGCGGCAUCCCACAUGCCACAACUGGAAGGACCCUCAACGAAGAAUAUUCAACUAUGUACUGGGGGGCUUUGGGGAGAAAAAGGAAAAAUAAAGAAGAAGCCAUGG